AUAAGCAAAUAUUCCAGAUUUGCGGGGCGUUUGCAAACAAAACCUGUUGCCAGACUCUCAGGUUUUGAGGUUUUCCCCCCCUAAAAAAGCUAUUUUUGGAGUAAAAAUGUUGCAGGCUGCUACAGGAAGGCAUUUUUUAUUCCCUUAAAGACGUAUCUGUAUCUAAGAGGAACAUUUCAGGGGAGUCCGUGCGAGAGCUUGGGCUGUCGCCCUUCCUUCCUGUCGGACACUGUCCCUGCGGCUAUGGUAUGGCCACGGAGUACGUUUUCAGUGAUUUACGCCCCUCUCCAGGCACCGUCCUCCCCCUCUUCGCCCCUUUCCUCCCCCUCUGACCUCUCUCCGGCUUUUUUUUCCCAGUUUAUCAAGGUUUUGUAGAUGUUUCCUGCUGCUCCUCGCAGCACGAGCAGCACUGCCUAUGGCAACGGACACCAGCACGGGAAGGAGGGAGCAGAGACGAAUCCUGCGGGGAGAAGCCGGGAACAAGAAGCCUGGCUUUGUGGAGGGCGCCGUCAGAAUGCCGGCGUACUGUUAGGAACACACCGUGCUCUGGGACGCGGUGGAGAAGCCCCGGCAACGCCUUCCAUAGGCGGCGGCGGCAGAGGCCCUGUCCAAACCCCGUGAGGUCUGUGAGCUCAAAACUGGAAAACCCCGUACCAGGAUGGAUAAGGAACGCCAAGCCCCGGUGUCGAGUUGUUCGAUUCUGCAGGAGGAAGGUGUAAGCAACCUUUUAAUUGCCGAUGACAACACGGUGGGCGCGGUGAAGAAAGGCAGCCUUAGUACCGCCACCGUAAAACCUGUUGAGACUCACGUUGAGGUAGUUGUGAUAUGUGAAACGGUUCGCUUCCUAAAGAAUUCAAUAGCAAGAAAAGUCGAGGCAGAAAGAUUUCGGAGCUUAUUGUGGUUUGAUUUAUCACUUCUGCUGGAGUUACUUGCCUGCCAAGAGCAAACAGCUUCCUUCUCGUUACUGUUUCUUAACCACGUCCUUCCUCUCAGUCCGCCCCAGGACCUCGGAGGACAUGGCCAGCAGCGAUGAGACCGUCAUCCAGAGGGGACGCCGCAGGGUGAAGUCCGCAAAUCCGGCUGCUUUACCCAGCGGGGAUUAAGGAAACCGUAACCGGCUUUGGUGCUCCUGGCAGAAGAACACCUGCGCAGCCCGAGUAGCUCCUCAGCGAGUCUCAGCGUUUCCAUCCGACAUGAAAAAAAAAAAAACCCACCGCAAGGACUUCACUUAUCUUAUUCUGCUAAAAACCCCAGGAAAGUUUCGCACCAGUUAACUCCUAAAAUCCCGGUCCUCGCUGUCUGGGCCAGGCACCUGGAAGUCAAGCGUACCCGGCGCUCCAGACCUGAGCAAUAUAACCGCCAGAGUUAUUACAUCAUUACC